CCAAGUUUGGCUUUGGAGGGAAGGUGUGUAGGAAUGGAGGAGGGUGCAUGGAGACCAGGGCAGCAAGGUGCCGUAAUGUUUCCAAUCCCCCUGAAAAGGAGGAAGAGGGAGGCUGCAGAACCCAUUAACCCUCCAGCUACAGCAAGUUUAUUUCCUGACGUCUGUGUCUUCUUAGUGGAGCGCAGAAUGGGCUCUGCACGAAGAGGCUUCCUAACCGCACUGGCACAGAGGAAAGGAUUCUGUGUGGCGCACGAGUACAGUUAUGCCGUGACGCAUGUGGUUUCUGAACAGAACACCUUCUCAGAGGUCCUGAGCUGGAUUGAAAUGAAGACUGGGAUGCUGGUGCAGUGCGCAGAGGGACAGAGGGCACCUCACAUCUUGGACAUCAGCUGGUUCACAGAGAGCAUGAGUUCAGGGAAACCUGUAGCAGUGGAGAAGAAACACUGUUUAGGAGUUGUGGGAUAUUCCGUUUCCAUUGACAAAGCUGUCGUUUCCGUAGUACCACCAUAUGCCUGCCAACGGCGAACUCCUCUAAUCCACCAUAACUCAGAUAUUACGGAUGCUCUGGAAGUAUUGGCGAGAGCAGCUGCUUUUCAGGGCUCUGAGGUUCGAUGUCUGGGUUUCACAAGAGCGGCGUCUGUGCUUAAGUCUUUACCAUACAAGCUGCAGUCUGCAGAAGAAGCGAAAGGCUUGCCGUGGUGUGGGGGUCACUGCAAGACUGUCAUCCAGGAGAUCCUGGAAGAUGGGGUUUGCAGUGAAGUGGAUGGGCUUAAAAACAGUGAACAGUUCCAGUGCAUGGAGAUCCUCACAGGUAUAUUUGGUGUUGGGGUACGCACAGCAGAGCGAUGGUACAAAGACGGCGUGCGGAAACUGAGUGAUUUGAAGGAGUCCAAGAUUAAACUGUUGGAAGACCAGAGAGCAGGGCUGGAGCACUAUGCCGACUUACAACAGCUUGUGACUCGCGCGGAGGCUGACCGUGUGGAACAUCUAGUAAGAGAUGCUCUACAGGGAUUUGUCCCAGACAUCCAGAUCACAAUGACUGGCGGGUUUUGCAGGGGGAAGCAGCACGGACAUGACGUGGAUUUCCUCAUCACCCACCCUGAUGAAGGAGCGCUAACCAGACUACUGAGGAAAGCUGUAAAUUGGCUUGAUGACCAGGGUUUACUCUUGUACUACCGUAUGAAGGAGCGAUCUCGUACAUCACACAGACUAAAUGGGCAUAUGGAUGGUCAUGAAACCUGUUAUGCUAUCCUUGCCCUUCCAAGCAGUAAUUUGGAGAAGUCCGAGGCUGAAGCAGUGGUUCCCGGUAUGCCGUGUAGUACAGUUCCUUGUCCUGGUGGCGUAGAUCCUCGCAGACGGAGAGCGGUUAGAGUUGAUUUGGUCGUCACCCCUUUUGCAGAGUAUCCAUAUGCCCUUUUAGGCUGGACAGGAUCAAAGCACUUCGAAAGGGAGAUGCGACGGUUCUCAUGGCACGAGAAAAAGAUGUCUCUAACUAGCCAUGGACUCUAUGAUGCAGAGGAAUGCUCUAUCCCAGCGACAUCUGAGGAAGAGAUAUUUGCACAUCUAGGAUUAAACUAUGUGCCACCUUCAGAUAGAAAUGCCUAACUUUUAUUGUGAAGAUGCUGAAGACUUCUGUGAUCAUCACUGCAGAAUUUGCUUGUGCAAAGUAAUUUCCACUCGACAUAACAGAAGUUUUGUAGGUAUCAUAGACUUUGUGAUGGUGAGACUGAACCUGAACCUCGUGUGGAAAGGUUUGCCCCCCUAGUCUCAGGUGAAGAGAGAGCUUGUUUCUGGAUUGUGCUUUCAUAGCAAAAAUGUACGCACAGAGUACAUGAAACAAUUGUGGGCGGAGUGAAGAAAUUAAACAUUGAAUUUAAAUAUGACUUUAUUAAAAGCAGUGUUUUGUUUUUACCCGGGAAUGGUGGCGAGGGACUCUCUACUAAAGAACAAAAAAAAAAAAAACCACAUUCCAAGCCAAUCACAGACCAAACAGCCUCUUCAAUAAAUACAGAUGUCAAUCGGAUGCUACCAACGUCUGAGUGUUCAACCCGAUAUAUCGAAUCAGGAGAGGAGAAGAUAAGUCAGCAGGGUGCUCCCCACUUCUGCUCCAGCGGUAACUAAGUGGGGAUGCGAGAGACCUGUUGGAAAAGUCUGAUGGGCACUUGAUUGUACAUGUAAAAAGCAUACUGGACAGUCUGAUGGUUUGUAGGUUUUGGCUGAGGGACUGUGAAAUGGUAUGUGUGGUGGUCUAAUGUGUUUGGGGUUUUGUUUUUUUGUUACAAAAUAUUUGUCAAACUACCUGUAAGAGUGGGUACACACCAGGAGAACAGGCAAUCAGGCAGAUGGUCGGGAUGAAUUCUUUUUGGCGCUGACCAUGCCUGAUUGCCUGUACACGAUUUAAUGAACAACUAAUCACUAUUCCAUCCUUCAUUAAUAAGCACUGGUUUGAAUUCAAUAACUUACGGGUGGCUGUGAAGCAGGGUCGACUGGAAGAUGUCGCAAUCGCGGAUACACUUUGUUGUGCUAUUACGGCAAACUGACCUGGUAUCGUGCUAGUGUGUAACCACCUUUAGUUAUGACAACUUAGUCUAUGAAUAUUCAAAACCAGUUAUGGCAAAUUGGUCUGAUUAUUCAAAAACAUAAGACCCAGAAACACUGAAGUAAAUUGAUAAAUGGGACCCACAUAAUUAAACUCUGAGAGCACUAAAAUAGGAAGACUUAAAAGGUGUUUUUUUUACGGCUAAUAAAUUAGCAUUCUAUAGAUAGCCAAAAUAGGUGUCAAUGUAUGUAAUGACCCUGACCCUAUAAAUAAAUUUAGGGGCCCAGGUUGCUAUACCAUAGUUUAAAAUGGAUUUGUUACAAAUUUUAAAAGGUAGUAAAAAUGGCACAAUUUAUUAUACAUAUGUAUGAACACAGACUUGUAGUAAACCCAGUUCAGAUACUUUAUUGUGCUGCAAGUAUCAUAAUCUAUGACAGAACACAUGUUCUAAUGAAAAAAAUUGAAGUUGAUAUUGAAGGUGAUUGGAAUCUAGCAACCUAUCUUUCUAGGGUUAGAACCCAUUGGCGUAAGUAUUUUUGUGAAAUGUAUGAUGGAAAAAUGUAUAGGAAAUGCACACAAUAGGCAUUUAUUUUAAAGCCAGUUUGUUUGUUUCAUACAGUAACUAUAAUACAAGUUGGGUCAAUCCAAUUACCUGUGAUGAUCUUGUGGUGUAAUUAAUCGUGGUGGCCCAAUUUACGCAGCAAUGAUCACCAUCCUGUAGAGGUCCAAGCAAUUUUGGGUGGAUUUCAGCACGUGAGGGGUGCAAGCUUGGGUGCCAUUGCCAACGUUAAAAUGCAACGGCACAUCGCACCCUGUGUGGCUAAUUGCAUUGACCCCCAUCACCAAGAUGCAUCAUCAAGUCAAGGAAGUUUCUAAUGCUUUGUUAUUCUCAAAUGCUUGGUUAUGGUUUAUUUAUUGAAUAAUGUGUCGUUGGCAGUGGGUUGUGUUUACAAUGAUGCUAGUAUUUUAAAAGUAAAAACAAUUUAAGUGAAAAUCAGAGUAUAAAUCUAUAGUGUCAUCCUGAAGAAUUAUCAGCAUAAACUGAUUGACUAUGCAUAAAGUCAUACUGUCAUUAGGCACAGGUUUUCACUAACAGGAUAGUGAGUCUUGGGGGGGAGAUCAAUUGUUUUUUGAGCGGCAUUAAUUAAUGUGCGACUGAUGGAGCAAUUCGAUUAUUGUUCUGAUAGGAUGCAAGUGCCCGCAUAUCUGCUCGCAGUCUUCAGAGGUAGCGAGCAGAAAAUUGUUUCGUCGACCACAUAUUAAUUAUCACCACCUAAAAAACAAUUGAAUCUUUGGUCAACCUGACAAGCAUUCACAUUAUGGAGGGGUAUUCAAUCACCUGCACAGAAACAUCGGGAGUGGAAAAAUUUUUUUCACAAUGGUGCAGAUGUAUUACCACGGAGAAGGGAUAAAGAAGUAAUAAAGCAGUGUUGAACGCAAGAUAACGCACCAGCCAAUCAUUACGGAUUUGACAGGAUCUGACUAGCUGGUGCAUUAUCGCCUUCCGCUUAUCACUUCUUUAUCCAGGCUUAAUACAUCUACCCCAAUGUUUCUAAUAUUUAGAUUUUUUUUCUUCCGGCUAUCCAAUUCGGAUACCUGAAAAAAAAAAACAUGUGAAACCUGUGUGUUUUUUUUUUUAUUUAUAAAAACAACCUUGUUUUCAGUGAUUUUUGCUUUGCCUAGCUGAAUCAGGUGCAACAAAAUCCCUGAUCAUCCACGUCUUCCGCUAGCUCACCUGGGCUAAUUGAAUAACCCCACAGUGCCACAAUUACCCACGAUCAAUAAUUGCAGGUAAUUGGAUACCCCCAAAAUCUUAAAGAUGGGCCUAAAGAUGUGACAGUUUAUCUUUUGGGGGCAAUUCAAAUAGCAACUUUAUUCUGAUGUGCUGUUCCGGAGUAGUACAUCCAACAGUAUUGAUUGGGUUGUUGGGGUAAUUUUGUAUC